CAGCCCUUUAGAGACACUCUGAUGAGCUACAGCUACAGGUUUCAAACAGAUCACUGAGUCUGUAGCAGAAUUUCCUCCCUCCUGUAUUGUACCAGUACCAGUAUUGGAGACACAAAGAGAGCAAAAUAGGUAUCUGGGGAUCACAACAACAUUGAAAAGGUUAAGCGAACAGGUGCAAAGCUGAAAUCAAUGGCGUAUCAAAUGAGACUCCCCACACUGUUGCUUACCUUUAUUCUCUGCUGUGGAGUUAUUGAUCCUGGAGACGGCGUGUAUUCCCUGCCACACCGCAUCAAACGUUAUGCACCUGAAGUGAUUCCUGACCUGUCUACCAAUGAUAUGACAUUCAUAGCAGUAAGAGAUCCCAGGCGCAUAACAGAACCCCAUAACCAGAACCAGAGAACUCAAGCAGGGGAUUUAAUUAACAAUUGGCAAGAUACACACCUGGGCGAGGGACCAAGUAACAACUUAGUACACUUACCAAAUGUGCAACAUAAUCGUCAACUCCUUCGAAUUGAUCGUCAGGGAUCGUUUGACCAAGGACGUUAUUGCAACUUCCAAAUGCAGAUUAAUGGGCCACGUCCUCGUGGAGCGAGCACCACAGUGUCAGCGAUCAUAGUCCCUAAUAGUGACAGAGUCACAGCAGAACAUAUGCGUGCGGCCUUCCAAUAUAGUUUAAGACACCAGGCCAAGGUUUGUUUGGAACUUGGCACAACCGACAGCUCACCCAACUGCCAAGCGAAUGAUGGAGGUGAAGCUAAAAACAAAGGUAACAAAACUAAAGGCCCAGGGAAAAAUGGGGGUGGAGACAAAGCUAAAGGUAAUAAAAAAUUAACUCUCAAAAUGGAUAUAGAAAGAGAGGACAGGUUGCGUAGUUAGCAGAUUCUUUCUACCAAAGUGACUUAGAGCAUUUGAAAAUCAAACCUGGGUCGACAUCCAUAGUAUCGCAGUGAUCAUUACAACAUAUGCAUGCAUUAUCAAAAGUCAGUGUUGGGCAGAAUGAGUGCAAUAAGUCAGCAUAGAUCUAUCUAUUAGUAAACUCCAUUUGCUUAACAUUUCUUUAUCAGAUCAACUAAUCACUCAAUAGGGU